rnacentral:rRNA from 1 species
GAUGAACGCUGGCGGCGUGCCUAAUACAUGCCAGUCGAGCGAACAGAUGAGGAGCUUGCUCCUCUGACGUUAGCGGCGGACGGGUGAGUAACACGUGGAUAACCUACCUAUAAGACUGGGAUAACUUCGGGAAACCGGAGCUAAUACCGGAUAAUAUAUUGAACCGCAUGGUUCAAUAGUGAAAGACGGUUUUGCUGUCACUUAUAGAUGGAUCCGCGCCGCAUUAGCUAGUUGGUAAGGUAACGGCUUACCAAGGCGACGAUGCGUAGCCGACCUGAGAGGGUGAUCAGCCACACUGGAGCUGAGACACGGUCCAGACUCCUACGGGAGGCAGCAGUAGGGAAUCUUCCGCAAUGGGCGAAAGCCUGACGGAGCAACGCCGCGUGAGUGAUGAAGGUCUUCGGAUCGUAAAACUCUGUUAUUAGGGAAGAACAAAUGUGUAAGUAACUAUGCACGUCUUGACGGUACCUAAUCAGAAAGCCACGGCUAACUACGUG